rnacentral:rRNA from 1 species
CCUACGGGUGGCUGCAGCCGGGAUCGUGCGCAAUGGACGAAAGUCUGACGCCGCGACGUCGCGUGAAGGAUGAAGGCGUUUUCGGCGUAAACUUCUUUUGCCAUAUGGGUGACCAUAUGGAGAAUAAGCACCCGCUAACUCUGUGCCAGCAGCCGCGGUAAUACAGAGGGUGCAAGCGUUAUCCGGAUUUAUUGGGCGUAAAGCGUUUCGUAGGUGGUUUGGUAAGUUAAACUUCAAAGACCCGGGCUUAACCCGGGGAAGGGUUUAAUACUGCUAGACUUGAGAAUUUAGGGGCAAUCGGAACUGUUGGUGUAGGGGUGAAAUCCGUUGAUAUCAACAGGAACGUCAAGGGCGUAGGCAGAUUGCUGGGAAAUUUCUGACACUGAGGAACGAAAGCUAGGGGGAGCGAAAGGGAUUAGAGACCCCUGUAGUCCUAGCCGUAAACUUUGCCUGCUAGCGAUGGGUCGCAAGAUCCGUUGCGUAAGCUAACGCGUUAAGCGGGCCGCCUGGGGAGUACGAACGCAAGUUUA